rnacentral:lncRNA from 1 species
CCGUACGUGGUAUGAAGGGUGUACUGACACUUGGUAUGCUGAACCGGCCUCCGUACCUGGCGUACAAACAUAGUAACAAGGGGGCACCGGUACAAGGCCCUUGAGGGGGACAAUUACAUUUCAAAAGAGGUCAAAUCAAUGUCAAAUGGAAGGAAAAAGGAAACAAAGGGUUUUCAUAGUAAGGUGGUUUAUAUCAAACUGGCAUAAAUCAAUGAGAAGAGAUAUGGGCUGAUAUGGACCAGAAAUGACUGAUACACAUGUCCCGGCUGUACUCUGAUGUGUCAUGCCUAGCUAUUGCAGUAUAUGUUAUGUUUUAUAGACUGGUAGAUUGGCUUGUUAAUAUUUUAAUGUGUGACAAGUUCAAACAUAUUUUCAUAUAGUUGAAUUACAUGAAGGAAUGGACAUUUGACAAUAGAUGCAAUUCCACUGACAAUCACAUCAAAGUGAUGGAGAGGUGUUUGUCCCACUUAUGCAGAAGCAUGGG